rnacentral:rRNA from 1 species
GUCUACAGCCAUGCCACCCUGAACAAACCCGAUCCUGUCUGAUCUCGGAAGCUAAGCAGGAUCGGGCCUGGUUAGUACUUGGAUGGGAGACCACCUAGGAAGACCAGGCACUGUAGGCA